ACUAACAGAUCUCAGCCUAGCUGGUAAUAGCCUUGCACAACAAAGCACAGGAAUGAUUUAAAAAAAGACCGAAGUUGCCUUUUCAGAUUGUCAACCAGUAUACGUGUUCUGGCAUUGCACAACUUUUUAUGUUAAAAGCUCCAAAUUUUAAACCUCUGCCUUGUGGUUAAAACCUUUCCAGACUUCAGUUUCUCCUUUCUCCAGGAUUUCUUUUUGUUCUGUGAAGUGCCUUGGGAUGUUUUUUUUUACAAUAUAUUGAAGACAUUGUCCAGAUGUAGUAUGUUGUUUUGAUUUCUGUCAGAUUGAAUUUUCCAUCUUAUGUUUCUAUUUAUUCAACUGAAAUUGUGAAGUUCAUGGUUGUCAAUGCGGGAUUUGGUCUUAUGCCUUCGUUUCGGUAGUCCAGGUUUCUGAACUGAUGAUGUUGGUUGCACAACUGCUCGGCUAUUGUAACCCCACAUUGUUGACUGGUGAAAGGGAAUGGCAGAUACCAAUGUCCUUGAACGGACAAUCCUACAAAAAGUAGUGGAUUUGGCCAAGAUCAUCACAGGUAAAGCCCUCCCAAACAUUGAGCACAACUACAUGAAAUGCUGUUGUAGGAAAGCAGCAUCCAUCAUCAGAGAUCCAGAUCAUGUUCUUUUCUCACUGCUGAUAUCAGGAAGAUAAAAAAACCUCAGGAACUGAACCACCACAGUUACCACCCCUCAACCAUCAUCUCUUGAACAAACAAAGAUAACGUCACUUUCAAGGACUCUUCAUUUCAUGUUCUCGUUAAUUAUUGCUGUUUAUUCACAUCUGCGUUAGCAGAGUUUGUUGUCCUUUGCACUCUGGUUGAAUGCUCCAGUUGGGCAGACUUUCAUUGAUUCUGUUAUAGUUAUUAUUCUAUAAAUUUGUUGUGUAUGCCCACAAGAAAAUUAAUCUCAGGGUUGUGUAUAGUGACAUAUAUGUACUUUAAUAAUAAAAUUUACUUUGAACUUCAGCCAAAGGUGGGGGCAGAUGAACGGUAUAUCUGGCUGUAGGAUACAUUUCUUUUUGUUGUUUGCACUCUCAAUGUUACCAUUCAAAAUUUAAAGUAAAUUUAUCAUCAAAGUAUGCAUAAGUCACUAUGCAGUAUCCUGAGAUUGUGGGCAUUGACAGUAAAACAAAGAAAUGCAAUAUAAUCAACGAAAAACUCCAUACAAAUAAAGACUGACUUAGAUCGAGAUUGCCCCUCAUUCUUAUAACUCGAGGCAUGGUCUACUCAAUGUCUUCUCAUUUUAAGUCCCAGCAUUCUGCAACCUGUCCGGUAAAUCUUCACUGCACUCCCUCUAUAGCAAUUGUAUCUUUUUCUAGAUGAAAAUGUGAUAUUGUGCAAAAGUACUAAUGCUCUUAUUUCUGUUUCCCAACCACCUUCCUAUUUUAACUAAUAUACAAUACUGAUUGUGUGCACAUAAAGAUACAUGGAGAACAGUGACUGUCAGUGUGGAGUCUAGGGGUAUUGUGGUAAUGCAUGGGGGGGUGACGAAGGGUACUGAGAGGAUGUGGAGAGGAGAGGCUGAUGUGGAUGUAGUGAUUGUGGAGCAAAUGAUAUAACCUGCUUUCUGUUUGCCUACGUCAGGAUGCUGUUCAUCGACUAUAGCUCAGCAUUUAAUACCAUCAUUCCCACAAUCCCGAUUUGAGAAGUUGUAGAACCUGGACCUCUGUACCACCCUCUGCAAUUGGAUCCUCAGCUUCCUAACCAGAAGAUCAUAGUCUGUGCGGAUUGGUGGUAACAUAUCCUUCUCGCUGACCGUCAGCACUGGUGUACCUCAGGGGUGUGUGCUUAGCCCACUGCUCUACUCUCUGUAUACACAUGACUGUGUGGCCAGGCAUAGCUCAAAUACCAUCUAUAAAUUUGCUGAUGAUACAACUAUUGUUGGCAGAAUCUCAGGUGGUGACAAGGGCAUACAGGAAUGAGAUAUGCCAACCAGUGAAAUGGUGCCGUAGCAACAACGUGGCACUCAACGUCAGUAAGACGAAAGAGCUGAUUGUGGACUUCAGGAAGGGUAAGACAAAGGAACACAUUCCAAUCCUCAUAGAGGGAUCAGAAGUGGAGAGAGUGAGCAGUUUCCAUUUCCUGGGUGUCACGAUCUCUGAGGAUCUAACCUAGUCCCAACA